ensembl:misc_RNA Metazoa_SRP Metazoan signal recognition particle RNA
GCCAGGCAUGGUGGUGCGUACCUGUAAUCCCAGCUACUCAGGAGGCUGAGGCAGGAGAAUCACUUGAAACCAGGAGGUUGAGGUUGCAGUGAGCCAAGAUUGCACCACUGCACUUCAACCUGGGUGACAGAGUGAGACUCUGUUUUAA